UUUAUCCUUCUCUCAGUCCCGCCGUAAAAUGCUGGAGUACCUGAGCUACUUCCCUGAAGGUGAACACUCGUACAGAGACGCUACGGAGUACUACGUAGAGGCAUGGAGGUACAGUUACAAGGUCAGAGAGAACACGUGCAUGGCUUUCAAUCCACAUCAGUGUAGAACCAUCCGCGAUGGUAGUAGACGCCCUGGGCUUCACCCGUCAUUAACGACUGCAUAGACUCGUUUCACUGGACGCAGUCGGACUCGACUUUCCAUUGACCCAGGU